ensembl:rRNA 5S_rRNA 5S ribosomal RNA
UCCUGCAGCUAUACUGCCCCAUGCUGUGAUCUUGUCAGAUCUCAUUAACUAAUCAGGGUUGGGUCAGUCUUGAAGGGCAAAAUCCAUGGAACACCUAGUUACUGCAGGAA